rnacentral:rRNA from 1 species
UACGUAGGGGGCUAGCGUUGUCCGGAAUCAUUGGGCGUAAAGAGCGUGUAGGCGGCCCGGUAAGUCCGCUGUAAAAGUCAAAGGCUCAACCUUUGAAUGUCAGUGGAUACUGCCGGGCUAGAGUCCGGAAGAGGCGAGUGGAACUCCUGGUGUAGCGGUGGAAUGCGCAGAUAUCAGGAAGAACACCAACGGCGAAGGCAGCUCGCUGGGACGGUACUGACUCUGAGACGCGAAAGCGUGGGGAGCGAACAGG